AUUUAUUGUUAGCUUAACAAUUCAAUAUAAAUUUAAAAGAUAUUUAUAAUGAUCUCAAUAUGAGAGUUUAUAUUUUUGUAGAAUAUAAAAAAACAACGAUGAACCAAUCCGAUUUCUCAACAUGUGAUGGAAUAAGAAUUUUUAAUAUUUCUUUGAAUUAUAUGGGAAAAAUAAAUACACUUGUGGUUCACGUGUUUCCAUCAGCCAAGAGCACCAUUCUUAGGAUGAAAUUUACAACCCAACCGACUAAUCCAAUUAGUUUGUACAUUGGGUUGGUUGGUUUACAAAGUUUAUUCCCAAACUAAUAUGGGAGAGGAUGGUUCAAUAGGUUGGGAUAAAAAUUUCAUCCAAAUUGACAAAUGAACACUCCUAAUUAUUAGAGGUCCUAAAAUGAAUUUAAUUAGUUAAAGUAAAUUUUUGAGUUUAGUGAUUCAUGAAGCA
rnacentral:misc_RNA from 1 species